AUUGAACGCUGGCGGAAUGCUUUACACAUGCAAGUCGAACGGCAGCACGGACUUCGGUCUGGUGGCGAGUGGCGAACGGGUGAGUAAUGUAUCGGAACGUGCCCAGUCGUGGGGGAUAACGUAGUGAAAAUUACGCUAAUACCGCAUACGAUCUAUGGAUGAAAGCGGGGGAUCGCAAGACCUCGCGCGAUUGGAGCGGCCGAUAUCAGAUUAGGUAGUUGGUGGGGUAAAGGCCCACCAAGCCAACGAUCUGUAGCUGGUCUGAGAGGACGACCAGCCACACUGGAACUGAGACACGGUCCAGACUCCUACGGGAGGCGGCAGCGGGGAAUUUUGGACAAUGGGCGAAAGCCUGAUCCAGCCAUUCCGCGUGCAGGAUGAAGGCCCUCGGGUUGUAAACUGCUUUUGUACAGAACGAAAAGGUUUCUACUAAUACUAGGAGCUCAUGACGGUACUGUAAGAAUAAGCACCGGCUAACUACGUGCCAGCAGCCGCCGUAA
rnacentral:rRNA from 1 species